rnacentral:lncRNA from 1 species
UUAUAUUGUAAUUAUUUGUUAGUUUAUUGUUUACACAGAUCAAAAGUAAUUUGGACGACCAAGGAUUACAAGAAGUUCAACCACUUAACAUACAUCAACCCUGGAACUCAACGAAAAAAAACAAGGUUCUCGAAUCAAAAACCAACUAAUGAUAAACAGAAGAAACCAAGAAUUGAAGACUGAUUUUUUUUUUUUUUUAAUAAACAUACUUUGAAAGACAUGGAUUUUUAAUAUUAUUUAAUGUUGGUUUUAAGUCACCUUAGAUGUUAUAAUUUAAUUAUAACAAAUAGACAUAAAUGAUAAAUCGUUAGGAUUUUAUAAUGAUUUAGUUAAAAACUAUUUGAAUAGCAGAUUAUUUAAUAAAUAACGUCAGAAUAAAAUGGCCAAUUUGUCAACUACCAAAUAAAAAAAAGUGAAAAAUAUAGCAUAUUAAUUGAAAAAAUAAGAAAAAUAGGAUUAGGGGCAUGAAAAAUUACCUUUGGUGUUGUGAUGUUUUAGUGAUAAUGGUGGGUGGUGGCUACAUGUGGCUGAAAGUGGUGGCAAUGGUCGGAGACGGUGGUGUCAAAAAUGGUGGUGGCGAUGGCCGGAGACAUCAGCGGUGGCGGUGGCCGGAGACAGCAGCA